CAUGAAGCUGGAAUUGCUAGUAAUGGCAGGUCAGCAUACUGCCGUGAAUACGUUCCCGGGUCUUGUACACACCGCCCGUCACACCAUGGGAGUCGGAAAUGCCCGAAGUCAGUGACCCAACCACAACGUGAACUUUGUUCACGUGGAGGGAGCUGCCGAAGGUGGAGCCGGUAACUGGGGUGAAGUCGUAACAAGGUAGC
rnacentral:rRNA from 1 species